AACGAACGCUGGCGGCAUGCCUAACACAUGCAAGUCGAACGAGACCUUCGGGUCUAGUGGCGCACGGGUGCGUAACGCGUGGGAACCUGCCCUUAGGUUCGGAAUAACUCCCCGAAAGGGGUGCUAAUACCGGAUAAUGUCUUCGGACCAAAGAUUUAUCGCCUUUGGAUGGGCCCGCGUUGGAUUAGCUAGUUGGUAGGGUAAAAGCCUACCAAGGCGACGAUCCAUAGCUGGUCUGAGAGGAUGAUCAGCCACACUGGGACUGAGACACGGCCCAGACUCCUACGGGAGGCAGCAGUGGGGAAUAUUGGACAAGGGGCGAAAGCCUGAUCCAGCAAUGCCGCGUGAGUGAUGAAGGCCUUAGGGUUGUAAAGCUCUUUUACCCGGGAUGAUAAGGACAGUACCGGGAGAAUAAGCUCCGGCUAACCCCGUG
rnacentral:rRNA from 1 species